rnacentral:rRNA from 1 species
AACGCGAAGAACCUUACCUGGGUUUGACAUGGAUCGGGAGUGCUCAGAGAUGGGUGUGCCUCUUUUGGGGUCGGUUCACAGGUGGUGCAUGGCUGUCGUCAGCUCGUGUCGUGAGGUGUUGGGUUAAGUCCCGCAACGAGCGCAACCCUUGUUCACUGUUGCCAGCACGUUAUGGUGGGGACUCAGUGGAGACCGCCGGGGUCAACUCGGAGGAAGGUGGGGAUGACGUCAAGUCAUCAUGCCCCUUAUGUCCAGGGCUUCACGCAUGCUACAAUGGCUGGUACAGAGAGUGGCGAGCCUGUGAGGGUGAGCGAAUCUCGGAAAGCCGGUCUCAGUUCGGAUUGGGGUCUGCAACUCGACCUCAUGAAGUCGGAGUCGCUAGUAAUCGCAGAUCAGCAACGCUGCGGUGAAUACGUUCCCGGGGCUUGUACACACCGCCCGUCAAGUCAUGAAAGUUGGUAACACCCGAAGCCGGUGGCCUAACCGUUGUGGGGGAGCCGUCGAAGGUGGGACUGGUGAUUAGGACUAAGUCGUAACAAGGUAACCUUAAUUAAAA